UGUAAAAUUUCAAAGGUCGAACAGACCUAAAAUUCUAGCUUCUACACCAAAAUUUAAUUUUAAUCCAACAUCGAGGUCGCAAACUUUUUUAUCGAUAAGAACUCUCCAAAAAAAAUUACGCUGUUAUCCCUAAGGUAAUUUAGUCUUGUAAUCCAAAAAUAAGGAUCAAAUAAUCAUAAAUCAAUGUUCAAAACAAAAAAAAGUUAUUCAAAUUUUUCCAUCGCCCCAACAAAAUAUCUGAAUAAAAACAAAAGAAUAAAUUCAAUAACUCUUAUAUUUAGUCAAAUAUAAAACUCUAUAGGGUCUUCUCGUCUUUAUAAAAAAUUUAAGCUUUUUCACUUAAAAUUGAAGUUCUACAACAUUUACACAGAGACAGUUAUUUUCUCAUCAAACCUUUCAUUCCAGCUUUCAAUUAAAAAACUAAUGAUUAUGCUACCUUUGCACAGUCAAAAUACUGCGGCCAUUCAAAAAUCAUUGGGCAGGCCAGACUUUAAAUCAAAAUCAA
rnacentral:rRNA from 1 species